GAUGAACGCUGGCGGCGUGCCUAACACAUGCAAGUCGAACGGAGUCGUUUUGGAAAUCUCUUCGGAGAUGGAAUUCUCGACUUAGUGGCGGACGGGUGAGUAACGCGUGAGCAAUCUGCCUUUAAGAGGGGGAUAACAGUCGGAAACGGCUGCUAAUACCGCAUAAAGCAUUAAAUUCGCAUGUUUUUGAUGCCAAAGGAGCAAUCCGCUUUUAGAUGAGCUCGCGUCUGAUUAGCUAGUUGGGGGGGUAACGGCCCACCAAGGCGACGAGCAGUAGCCGGAAUGGGGGGUGAAAGGGCGCCAAUGGGACUGGGGCACGCAGCAGACUCGAACGGAGGCAGCAGUGGGGAAUAUUGCGCAAUGGGGGAAACCCUGACGCAGCAACGCCGCGUGAUUGAAGAAGGCCUUCGGGUUGUAAAGAUCUUUAAUCAGGGACGAAACAAAUGACGGUACCUGAAGAAUAAGCUCCGGCUAACUACGUG
rnacentral:rRNA from 1 species